GGGUGGUCUGGCCCGGCGUCACGAGGGUGGCGACGGUCGCGCCGUCGACCUGGACGUCGUAGUCGGCGGCCGAGUCGUUGAGCACGAUCCCCACCCC
rnacentral:tRNA from 1 species